rnacentral:rRNA from 1 species
GGGACCUUCGGGCCUCGCGCUGGUGGAGGAGCCUACGUCCGAUUAGCUCGUUGGUAGGGUAACGGCCUACCAAGGCGACGAUCGGUAGCUGGUCUGAGAGGAUGAUCAGCCACACUGGGACUGAGACACGGCCCAGACUCCUACGGGAGGCAGCAGUGGGGAAUAUUGGACAAUGGGCGCAAGCCUGAUCCAGCAAUGCCGCGUGGGUGAAGACGGCCUGCGGGUUGUAAAGCCCUUUAGGCGGGGAGGAACGGCGUCGUGCGAACAGUGCGGCGUUCUGACGUUACCCGCGGAAUAAGCACCGGCUAACUCCGUGCCAGCAGCCGCGGUAAUACGGAGGGUGCGAGCGUUAAUCGGAAUUACUGGGCGUAAAGCGUGUGUAGGCGGUAAAGUUAGUCAGCCGUGAAAGCCCUGGGCUUAACCUGGGAACGGCGGUUGAGACGGCUUAACUAGAGUACGGCAGAGGGGGGUGGAAUUCCUGGUGUAGCAGUGAAAUGCGUAGAGAUCG